UAAGAAUUCGCGAUGGUUAUCGUAUUGA
rnacentral:sRNA from 1 species